rnacentral:lncRNA from 1 species
UCAUCCGACUCUCAGAAUAAGAAUCGGCCGCCGUUUGCCGACGAUGAUUUGGAAGGGAUCGUCUCCCUAUCGACUAUGGCUUCGUGUUCAUAUGCUGCUUCGGGUUAUCAAGCGGGGGGAGAAUCCUCAGUUUCGAAGAUCCAGUUCUUCAUCCGGAUGAUCGCUGAAGGUAAACAUGUUGUUGUCUAUGCUAGCUCGGAGGAUACUGUGGAGUCUAUUAUGGAGAGAAUUCAGGUGAUCACUG